UACAGAGGGUGCAAGCGUUGUUCGGAAUCAUUGGGCGUAAAGCGCACGUAGGCGGUCUGCUAAGUCGGGUGUGAAAGCCCCAGGCUCAACCUGGGAAGUGCACUCGAAACUGGCGGACUUGAAUGUCGGAGAGGGUGGUGGAAUUCCGAGUGUAGAGGUGAAAUUCGUAGAUAUUCGGAGGAACACCAGUGGCGAAGGCGACCACCUGGACGAACAUUGACGCUGAGGUGCGAAAGCGUGGGAGC
rnacentral:rRNA from 1 species